GGCCUCCCUCUGUGGGGCGAUCAAUCGCAGGGCUCCAAGAUCGAUCGCCCUGCAGAGGGAGGCC
rfam:Myotis lucifugus cont2.10718, whole genome shotgun sequence.